UUGUUUAGUCAUUUGCUAAAUUGAAUGCAGAUUUUACUAUUGUCAUCUUUGAUGAGCUUGUGAUAUCAAAUUCAUGAUAAUUAUCAAGGAGCUACCUUAAUAAUUAAGGAUGUACUACUAGUUCUCGAUGUUCAUGCAGCUAUUGCAAAAGAUCCUCAGCACUUUCGGUAGAUUGUUGUUUUUCAGGUGGAGAAAUUUCGGAUAGACAAUUCUCUUUUGGAGAAGUAUGCUUUUUUCUUGUUCAAAAAUUUAAUCUUUAUUUAUGCAGUUUCACUAAAAUUAUGUAUUUGCUUUUAUUUUUAUCUUUAGUUAUUAAAUUAUUUUUUUCUUAAUGCUCUAGACGAAGUGCUUUGAUAAUUCACCGACUUUGUGUUCUCUUGAAUGCUGAGAGUCUAUCGUGAUCUUUCUAUAAUACUAGAAGGAGAAUCUGAUUUGGAUUUUGCAUCAAUUAUGGUUCAGAUUGGUUGACUUUUCUGCGAGCUUGAAUAGUAAGACGCAACACAUGUAAAUUCUGAUAUAUAUAAAUUCAUAGGUCUAUAACCCACACCACCUUGUUGGCUGUAACGAAAUAUUUAAAUGAAACAGCUUCAUGGCUUUUGUAGUUAAUAUAGUGUAUCUGCUUAGCUUUUAUGGGAAUAAUGAAAUCAUUCUUUUGUGAA